UACGGAGGGGACUAGCGUUGUUCGGAAUUACUGGGCGUAAAGCGGACGUAGGCGGAUUUGUAAGUCAGGGGUGAAAUCCCGGGGCUCAACCUCGGAACUGCCUUUGAUACUGCAAAUCUCGAGUCCGGAAGAGGUGAGUGGAAUUCCUAGUGUAGAGGUGAAAUUCGUAGAUAUUCGCAAGAACACCAGUGGCGAAGGCGGCUCACUGGCCCGAUACUGACGCUGAGGCACGAAAGCGUGGGGAGCAAACAGG
rnacentral:rRNA from 1 species